rnacentral:rRNA from 1 species
GACGAACGCUGGCGGCGUGCUUAACACAUGCAAGUCGAACGGAAAGGCCUCUUUCGGGGGGUACUCGAGUGGCGAACGGGUGAGUAACACGUGAGUAACCUGCCCUUGACUUUGGGAUAACUUCAGGAAACUGGGGCUAAUACCGGAUAGGAGCUCCUGCUGCAUGGUGGGGGUUGGAAAGUUUCGGCGGUUGGGGAUGGACUCGCGGCUUAUCAGCUUGUUGGUGGGGUAGCGGCUUACCAAGGCUUUGACGGGUAGCCGGCCUGAGAGGGUGACCGGCCACAUUGGGACUGAGAUACGGCCCAGACUCCGACGGGAGGCAGCAGUGGGGAAUAUUGCACAAUGGGUGGAAGCCUGAUGCAGCAACGCCGUGUGCGGGAUGACGGACUUCGGGUUGUAAACCGCUUUCGCUCAUGACGAAGCUUUGUGUGACGGUAGUGGGUAAAGAAGCACCGGCUAACUACGUG